rnacentral:rRNA from 1 species
UUAAGCGACUAAGCGUACACGGUGGAUGCCUUGGCAGUCAGAGGCGAUGAAGGACGUGCUAAUCUGCGAUAAGCGUCGGUAAGGUGAUAUGAACCGUUAUAACCGGCGAUUUCCGAAUGGGGAAACCCAGUGUGAUUCGUCACACUAUCAUUAACUGAAUCCAUAGGUUAAUGAGGCGAACCGGGGGAACUGAAACAUCUAAGUACCCCGAGGAAAAGAAAUCAACCGAGAUUCCCCCAGUAGCGGCGAGCGAACGGGGAGGAGCCCAGAGCCUGAAUCAGUGUGUGUGUUAGUGGAAGCGUCUGGAAAGGCGCGCGAUACAGGGUGACAGCCCCGUACACAAAAAUGCACAUACUGUGAGCUCGAUGAGUAGGGCGGGACACGUGGUAUCCUGUCUGAAUAUGGGGGGACCAUCCUCCAAGGCUAAAUACUCCUGACUGACCGAUAGUGAACCAGUACCGUGAGGGAAAGGCGAAAAGAACCCCGGCGAGGGGAGUGAAAAAGAACCUGAAACCGUGUACGUACAAGCAGUGGGAGCACAGAGCAAUCUGUGUGACUGCGUACCUUUUGUAUAAUGGGUCAGCGACUUAUAUUCUGUAGCAAGGUUAACCGAAUAGGGGAGCCGAAGGGAAACCGAGUCUUAACCGGGCGUUAAGUUGCAGGGUAUAGACCCGAAACCCGGUGAUCUAGCCAUGGGCAGGUUGAAGGUUGGGUAACACUAACUGGAGGACCGAACCGACUAAUGUUGAAAAAUUAGCGGAUGACUUGUGGCUGGGGGUGAAAGGCCAAUCAAACCGGGAGAUAGCUGGUUCUCCCCGAAAGCUAUUUAGGUAGCGCCUCGUGAAUUCAUCUCCGGGGGUAGAGCACUGUUUCGGCAAGGGGGUCAUCCCGACUUACCAACCCGAUGCAAACUGCGAAUACCGGAGAAUGUUAUCACGGGAGACACACGGCGGGUGCUAACGUCCGUCGUGAAGAGGGAAACAACCCAGACCGCCAGCUAAGGUCCCAAAGUCAUGGUUAAGUGGGAAACGAUGUGGGAAGGCCCAGACAGCCAGGAUGUUGGCUUAGAAGCAGCCAUCAUUUAAAGAAAGCGUAAUAGCUCACUGGUCGAGUCGGCCUGCGCGGAAGAUGUAACGGGGCUAAACCAUGCACCGAAGCUGCGGCAGCGACACUGUGUGUUGUUGGGUAGGGGAGCGUUCUGUAAGCCUGUGAAGGUGUGCUGUGAGGCAUGCUGGAGGUAUCAGAAGUGCGAAUGCUGACAUAAGUAACGAUAAAGCGGGUGAAAAGCCCGCUCGCCGGAAGACCAAGGGUUCCUGUCCAACGUUAAUCGGGGCAGGGUGAGUCGACCCCUAAGGCGAGGCCGAAAGGCGUAGUCGAUGGGAAACAGGUUAAUAUUCCUGUACUUGGUGUUACUGCGAAGGGGGGACGGAGAAGGCUAUGUUGGCCGGGCGACGGUUGUCCCGGUUUAAGCGUGUAGGCUGGUUUUCCAGGCAAAUCCGGAAAAUCAAGGCUGAGGCGUGAUGACGAGGCACUACGGUGCUGAAGCAACAAAUGCCCUGCUUCCAGGAAAAGCCUCUAAGCAUCAGGUAACAUCAAAUCGUACCCCAAACCGACACAGGUGGUCAGGUAGAGAAUACCAAGGCGCUUGAGAGAACUCGGGUGAAGGAACUAGGCAAAAUGGUGCCGUAACUUCGGGAGAAGGCACGCUGAUAUGUAGGUGAAGUCCCUCGCGGAUGGAGCUGAAAUCAGUCGAAGAUACCAGCUGGCUGCAACUGUUUAUUAAAAACACAGCACUGUGCAAACACGAAAGUGGACGUAUACGGUGUGACGCCUGCCCGGUGCCGGAAGGUUAAUUGAUGGGGUCAGCGCAAGCGAAGCUCUUGAUCGAAGCCCCGGUAAACGGCGGCCGUAACUAUAACGGUCCUAAGGUAGCGAAAUUCCUUGUCGGGUAAGUUCCGACCUGCACGAAUGGCGUAAUGAUGGCCAGGCUGUCUCCACCCGAGACUCAGUGAAAUUGAACUCGCUGUGAAGAUGCAGUGUACCCGCGGCAAGACGGAAAGACCCCGUGAACCUUUACUAUAGCUUGACACUGAACAUUGAGCCUUGAUGUGUAGGAUAGGUGGGAGGCUUUGAAGUGUGGACGCCAGUCUGCAUGGAGCCGACCUUGAAAUACCACCCUUUAAUGUUUGAUGUUCUAACGUGGACCCGUGAUCCGGGUUGCGGACAGUGUCUGGUGGGUAGUUUGACUGGGGCGGUCUCCUCCUAAAGAGUAACGGAGGAGCACGAAGGUUGGCUAAUCUUGGUCGGACAUCAGGAGGUUAGUGCAAUGGCAUAAGCCAGCUUGACUGCGAGCGUGACGGCGCGAGCAGGUGCGAAAGCAGGUCAUAGUGAUCCGGUGGUUCUGAAUGGAAGGGCCAUCGCUCAACGGAUAAAAGGUACUCCGGGGAUAACAGGCUGAUACCGCCCAAGAGUUCAUAUCGACGGCGGUGUUUGGCACCUCGAUGUCGGCUCAUCACAUCCUGGGGCUGAAGUAGGUCCCAAGGGUAUGGCUGUUCGCCAUUUAAAGUGGUACGCGAGCUGGGUUUAGAACGUCGUGAGACAGUUCGGUCCCUAUCUGCCGUGGGCGCUGGAGAACUGAGGGGGGCUGCUCCUAGUACGAGAGGACCGGAGUGGACGCAUCACUGGUGUUCGGGUUGUCAUGCCAAUGGCACUGCCCGGUAGCUAAAUGCGGAAGAGAUAAGUGCUGAAAGCAUCUAAGCACGAAACUUGCCCCGAGAUGAGUUCUCCCUGACCCUUUAAGGGUCCUGAAGGAACGUUGAAGACGACGACGUUGAUAGGCCGGGUGUGUAAGCGCAGCGAUGCGUUGAGCUAACCGGUACUAAUGAACCGUGAGGCUUAACCU